GCCCGGGUGGCGAAAUUGGUAGACGCACUACCUUGAGGUGGUAGCGGCCGCAAGGCCUUGCGAGUUCAAAUCUCGCCUCGGGCA
rnacentral:tRNA from 1 species